ACAAAAGCCUAAAAUUUGAAAAGAAGGGUCAGAAGAGAAGAAAAAAUCCAAACUUGGAUCAUUCAGAACAUAUCGGAGUGUGUGCAAAGCUGCCUGAAAGUGGCCAGAUCUCGGAGAAUGCAUAUAUUGACUCAAAGUUUGUACAACAAAUGACAGAUCAGGUCGUGCAUGUGUGAGAAAGUUUAAUUUCCCCAAAAGUCUCCUAUAAAUUAUUGGGUCCGUCAAGAGAUCUCCUGAAUCUAUAGUGAUCUUGAUAUUCAGAUCAAGUGGGGUGGAUACUGUACGUGAAUGUAAAGAAUCAAAUUCAGAAAGAAGGUCAAGUGCAAACUUCCUCUGAGUGAUAAUAAUACCUCUAGGUUCGUGCAAAAUUUUCAUUCCUAAGAAAUAAUCUGCCUCUCCUAGGUCCUUAAUUCUAAAUUCAGAGUCAAGAAAAGACUUUACUUCACGGAUUUCUGCUUGAUCAUUUCCUGUCAGGAUAAUAUCGUCGAUAUAGAUUGCCAAUAUAGUCGUCAAAGUCCUAGAAGACUUGAAAAACAAAGAAUAAUUAUUGACUGAUGAAGUAAAACCUCUAUAACCCAAUACGGAGGAAAGACGAACUUACCGUUGGCGGGGGGCAUGUUUGAGUCCGUAAAGGGAUUUACGAAGAUGACACUCAUGUGGUGGACUCGGAGGAUCAAUUCCCGGUGGAAAUUUCAUGAACACCUCUUCGUCCAAAUCGUUGUGAAGAAAGACGUUAUUGACGUCCAAUUGGGCAAUGCCUUCUUUCCCAAAGGUGGUGGAAUAACAUCCCAAGUGUUGUUAGAUUUUAGUGCCUCGAGUUCCUUUGCCAUAGCUGUUUGCCAACUAGGAUGAAAUGCUGCUUCUCACAGCAAGUCAUGAAGGUAUUGAGGACCUUCAUUUGAUCCCAGAUCCUUUUGAGUCUAGUGAAGUAAGCUGCCACAUCAUUUGUUCCCUGGGAAAUAUUAUUGAUUUCCCUAUGUAGUUGGAAAAGCUUUGCACCAUCAGCUUGACCAUACCUUUCUUCCAAGUCACCCCAAAGUUCUUUAGCAGUCUGAGAGUAAAUAACACUUUCAGCUAUGUCUUUGCUCAAGGAGUUCAACAACCAAGCAAUGACCAUGUCCUUGCACCUUUUUCACUGGUCAAACAAAGGUGAAUCUGAUGAGUUGAGGAAGUAAGGAUGAGCUCCAUCAACCAAAUUUGAAACUAUAGCAGUGCCAUUUUCAGUUGAGGUGCCACUAGCUAGAAGAGGAGUUUCUGUAGUGUUUGUCAAUGCAAGUGAGAAACAAAUAGAGAAGAGCCGGAAAAGGAAAAUAGAGGACUCAAAAAUAGAGAAAUCAGAUCUGGAUAUUUAGAGCACCCGUUCUGAUCCCAUGAAGACCAAUGAAUUUUUCAGAAUAAUCCUCUUUGAUUUCUGUAUUUCUGUCUCGUAUUACACUGUGCGUGUCCUAUUAAAUACACAAAGGACUAAAUAAAAUGACAAAGGUCUCUGACGGACUCUAUACAAAUGAGACAAAGAAUAAAAAAUGUAUUCUAACCUACUCAGCAGACUAUCUAGAAUAUUCUAUACAAAAUUGUUCUUAUCUUCUUA